rnacentral:rRNA from 1 species
AAGGAUCAUUAUCGAGUUUUGACUGGGUUGUAGCUGGCCUUCCGAGGCAUGUGCACGCCCUGCUCAUCCACUCUACACCUGUGCACUUACUGUGGGUUUUACGGGUCGUGAAAUUGGCUCGUUCAUUCGGGCUUGUUGAGCGCACUUGUUGCCUGCGUUUAUCRCAAACUCCAUAAAGUAUUAGAAUGUGUAUUGCGAUGUAACGCAUCUAUAUACAACUUUCAGCAACGGAUCUCUUGGCUCUCGCAUCGAUGAAGAACGCAGCGAAAUGCGAUAAGUAAUGUGAAUUGCAGAAUUCAGUGAAUCAUCGAAUCUUUGAACGCACCUUGCGCUCCUUGGUAUUCCGAGGAGCAUGCCUGUUUGAGUGUCAUGAAAUCUUCAAUCUACAAGCUUCUUAUGGGAGUUUGUAGGCUUGGACUUGGAGGCUUGUCGGUCCUUUACAGGUCGGCUCCUCUCAAAUGCAUUAGCUUGGUUCCUUGCGGAUCGGCUUGUCGGUGUGAUAAUGUCUACGCCGSGACCGUGAAGCGUGUUUGGGCGAGCUUCUAACCGUCUCGUUACGGAGACAACUUUAUGACCUCUGACCUCAAAUCAGGUAGGACUACCCGCUGAACUUAA